rnacentral:rRNA from 1 species
UACAGAGGGUGCGAGCGUUGUCCGGAAUCACUGGGCGUAAAGGGCGCGUAGGCGGCCAAACAGGUCCGUUGUGAAAACUGGAGGCUCAACCUCCAGACGUCGACGGAAACCGUGUGGCUAGAGUCCGGAAGAGGAGAGUGGAAUUCCUGGUGUAGCGGUGAAAUGCGCAGAUAUCAGGAAGAACACCAACGGCGAAGGCAGCUCGCUGGGACGGUACUGACGCUGAGACGCGAAAGCGUGGGGAGCGAACAGG